rnacentral:tRNA from 1 species
UCUCAGGUGGCUCAGUGGUAAAGAGUCUGCCUGCCAAGCAGGAGACCCAGGUCCGGUCCCUGGGCAGGGAA